rnacentral:lncRNA from 1 species
AUUCCCUGUCCAAAAUAACAAGUAAAAAGGACGGCAGGCCGGUUAACAGACAGGGAGCCCACGGCCGGAUUCGUUCCGGUCAGAUCCAAUAGAACCCCCUCAAGUUGCUCAAGAAUUGACACACGGGCAGGGACAGCAGCCCAGCAGCAGACUCAGGCCUUGCUUCACACUCCCACCGCUGCGAGGCUGCUGUGGCUCAGAUGCGCUCAUAGGUCUGCGCUACACUGAAAAUGCUAAGUUAUGUUUGCACCAGGACAAUAAAAUCCUACUCAGCAAUAAAGGAGAAGAAGCUAUUGACAAACAUGACAACGUGGGCAAAUCUCAAAGGCAGGAUGCUGGGGGAAAGAGGACAGGCUCGAAAGGUUAAAUACUGCCUGGGUCCAUUUACGUGACUUUCUGGAAAAGGCAAGACUGGAGCGGGAGCAGGUGAGUGGUUGUAGGGGGCAGGAAGGGGAGAGUGUGCUGCAGAGACAGCACGGGUGAUGGCACUGCUCUGCGUCCUGAUUGUGGCGGGGGCUACAGGAAUCUGGACGUGCAUGAAAACUCAUAAAAUUGCACACCAAAAAAACCUUAAUUUUACUAUAUGUUAAUUUAAAAAAACAAACAAAAAAGUCGUUCCUGAAGAAUAUGAUGAGCUUUCAAUACUUGAAUAUCUUCUUCUAACAACAGUAAAGCAUUUAGAGAGAUAUUUUAAAAAUGCCCCAGGCCACGGGGCCCUGACCACUCCUGGCGUGGCGAUUGGAGUGCUCCAGGGCGAGGAGAAAGUGGAGAUUCUGGAACUGCAUGAAGAGCACUAGCUUCCUUGCCUCAAUUCCUCUUUCACUUUCCACAAAAAGACAAGGGAACUGCAGGCUGUGGUUGACAUACAUGAAAGGGCCAUUCACAGGAAAAGGAUUGCUCAUUCGCUCAUGCAAUGGUGAUAGUGAACCACAGGCUCAUCGCAUCAGAGGAGAGUGCUUGACUUCUCCAAGGAUGAGAUGCAUGGUGACAGUGAGGACCAGAAGGUGCCAUCCGCCUGAUGCUUGUGCUGAGAGAGCUGCUCGGAGCGCAACAUCACAAUCAAACAUGAUCUUCCUCUUUGCCCCGUCAGCCAACCUUUUCAGCAGCGCAACUUCAGACGGACAACGGGAGAGUCUCUAA